UAGGAACGUUGGCGAGUGAUGCAGCGAUAUUUGCAAGCCACAAGAUCCUAAAAUUGCAUUCUCCUACCUUCAAGAUCACCUGAAUUUGCUCCAAAAGUAGCUUCUCAAAUGGAGAGCUAAAAUCAACGAGACUAAGUCAACCCGUGAAGACGGAUGCACCGUGCUAUGUAUCAAACAAAACGCUGCACGAUGACUCUGACACGCAAUUCAUCAGACGGACAAUACGAGAAAGAAGCAACAGCCACUACAUCAAACUGGAUCUUCGCAGCAAUCUUCUCGGUUCUACCGGUUCUGAAGAAACAGGGUUCUGGAAGACUAAGAAGACAGUGGCCAAAGUGACGUCAAAUGAGUCGACGUUACGACAUACAGGGUGCACCAAUAUAUUGAGAUUACUGUGUUUUUGAUAGUUCGAUCGAAAAUCGCUUUAUCAGGUACAGCGCGGUUUCGAGAGAGUUUCAACGUGAUUAUAGUAAAUUUGUUGUCAACUCUCUGUUCCUCAUGAUUUUUCGACAUCAACUUGAAUUUCUCGCAAAUAAACCAAUAGUUUUUUAAUAAAACACCUAUCUGCUAGAGGAUUCCAAGGCGAAUUUUCUCUACUUUUUUUUUCUGCUAGUGUGGACUCUUCAGCAAGGCUUUCACCUAACAGACCUAUACCUUAGACACAACGAGAGAAGACAGAAAGUGAGUGUUUCGUCCAAGAUCUUACUUUUUUUUUCAUUAUUUAAUUUGAGCUUUACAAUUUGUCCAACUGGGCAUUCGGUAAAUUGUUUCUCUCUACUGAUCACGACUCCUGGCUCACCCUGUAUAAGGAACCCGAGGCACCAAAUUAGCCUAAAGAAUCUUCUCUUUGAUUCCGAUCGCCGAUGCGAAGAUAGGAAAAAGAAAGUUCAUUUUUUGUUGUUACAGUAACAGAUUAUAUCAGCUUGGAUUAAACGAGAUGUUGUACGUAUUAGAAAAUAAAAAAAUCCUUCAA